GACGAACGCUGGCGGCGUGCUUAACACAUGCAAGUCGAACGGAAAGGCCCUGCUUUUGUGGGGUGCUCGAGUGGCGAACGGGUGAGUAACACGUGAGUAACCUGCCCUUGACUUUGGGAUAACUUCAGGAAACUGGGGCUAAUACCGGAUAGGAGCUCCUGCUGCAUGGUGGGGGUUGGAAAGUUUCGGCGGUUGGGGAUGGACUCGCGGCUUAUCAGCUUGUUGGUGGGGUAGUGGCUUACCAAGGCUUUGACGGGUAGCCGGCCUGGGAGGGUAACCGGGCACCAUGGGACUGCGGGAGGGCCCAGAAUGCAACGGGAGGCAACAGGGGGGAGUAUGACACAACGGGGGGAAGCCUGAGACAACGACGCCGGGUGCGGGAAGACGGCCUUCGGGGUGUGAACCGCUUUCGCCUGUGACGAAGCGUGAGUGACGGUAAUGGGUAAAGAAGCACCGGCUAACUACGUG
rnacentral:rRNA from 1 species